UGCCUCUGCUGAUUCGGAUGCUGGUUUGCUGUUGAAAUGAACGAGAGUUCAGCUCCAUACAACAGAGCAGGAAUUACAGCUGAAUUCCUCCCAGUACCACUGCUUUUCAUAUGCUAAAAUCAAUAGACUGGAUUCAGACAGGAGAGCCUGGAAUCUUCUAGAAACCAGAGAAGAGCACACAAUAUAGAUGAAGA